UCCCAGUCAAACCAAUUUGGAAAGGAUC
rnacentral:piRNA from 1 species